rnacentral:rRNA from 1 species
AUUGAACGCUGGCGGCAUGCUUUACACAUGCAAGUCGAACGGUAACAGGUCUUCGGAUGCUGACGAGUGGCGAACGGGUGAGUAAUGCAUCGGAACGUGCCCAGUCGUGGGGGAUAACGCAGCGAAAGCUGCGCUAAUACCGCAUACGAUCUAUGGAUGAAAGCGGGGGACCGUAAGGCCUCGCGCGAUUGGAGCGGCCGAUGUCAGAUUAGGUAGUUGGUGGGGUAAAGGCUCACCAAGCCAACGAUCUGUAGCUGGUCUGAGAGGACGACCAGCCACACUGGGACUGAGACACGGCCCAGACUCCUACGGGAGGCAGCAGUGGGGAAUUUUGGACAAUGGGCGCAAGCCUGAUCCAGCAAUGCCGCGUGCAGGAAGAAGGCCUUCGGGUUGUAAACUGUUUUUGUACGGAACGAAACGGCUCUGGUUAAUACCUGGGGCUAAUGACGGUACCGUAAGAAUAAGCACCGGCUAACUACGUGCCAGCCGCCGCCGUAAAAC